UUAGUUAGGUAGUGGGGUGGGAGGGAAUACAGUUGGUGCUGCUCCGCCAAUAGGAGGAAGAGGGUGUGUCGUAUGCAAAUUAUCCUGGGAAGCCCAGCCCCUCCCCUAAGGCAAGCCACGGCCCCUUUUCUAGGUCCCUGCAGAAAUGGAGAGGGAGUGAAAUAAAUAGUUGGGAGCUGUAGCUCGCUAGUGGGUCUAAGACUGAGCUAAAUAUUUCCUGAUUUUUUUGAGAAAGGUUGGGGAGGUGGCGGGGGCGAGGAGCUAAAACGUUCAUAGCAUCACGGCAAUGGUUAGGCUUUCUCUCUGCCCAAAUCUUAGGUUAGCUGUAAAGACUGCAGUUACGUAGCACUUUGCAUCCAAGGAUCUCUAAGAACUUUAUGCAUCAUUUAUCGUGAGCUGCAUUUUGCAAAAGACCAGUUAGUUAUCUGAGGCUUGGGCGGAGAGUAGAGGAUAGAUGUUUGAGCACUGAAGGACCAAAGAGACAGGACUGUUUUCUCACCCAAACGUCCUUUCUGAGGCAGCUGGUCAGACACACGCAGAACACAGCCCUGCUUGGGAAGGAAAGUUCAGAGAACAUACUGCCUUUUAAAACUGAGCUGGACCAGCUUCUCCAAAGCUGAAAAGGCUUCUGGACUGCUGUUUUCUUCCAUUCCUCACCUGGCCACCCUUCCUUUCCUAGCCAGCCUGGAUAUCAUCAAGAGAAUGGGACUUAGAGGACCCAGCCACUGAUAGAAGCCGCUCAUUUCGCCUGAAUUAAUCUGUUGUUUUCUGUGCUGUGAACGUGCUGAUUUCUGUGGCAGUGAGUUUACAUUCGCCAGGCUUAAAACUGAGCUCCAAGCAAAUGGAUACCUUUUCUACUUCUGAUAUGCCAAGGACACACUGAGAUUACUUCAGCAAAGAUAAUCUUCCUGCCAAUCUGCAUUAUAAUUCAGAGCUCGUCAAGUGAAGAAAGAAAACAGCCUUAAAGGAGUGCGAUUAAACUUUUACUUUAUCUUUUUAUAUCUUGAUACAAAAAUAUGCAAGUUGAUUAUUUUCUUACAGUACUUGUCACUGGCUUUGUAACUUUGUGUGUUUUUACUUGGCUACCUUCUCCAUAAGAUUAUAGGCUUCAUGAGGAUAAUUUUCUUCAUCACUGUAUCCUCAAUACAAUAAAAACAUUUUUUUUUGAAGAAAUGAAUAAAGAAA